rnacentral:lncRNA from 1 species
CGUCGGCUUCGAUUAAUAUAGUAUUCUCGCUAUCUGCUAUAUUCUGUCCGUUUUCGUUGAUUUCUGUCGCGUUAUCGAGCGGGUUUUCGCUUACGUAUUCUUCCCCCAAAUUUACAUUCGUCACCGUAAGGUCUUCGUCUGCUGUGCUUGGCUCCAUGCCGCAGAACUUCCCCAAGAUUUGACCAGAUUAGAUGACGAUAGAAACUCGUAGAAUAUCGCGAUGAUUUCGCCGUAUUUAAGGUUAGUUUUCUCACUGUUCUGAUCCUUCAAGGCUCGUAGCUGUUCGGGGCCCCUUCAUCAGAUCGUGUAACCACA